GAGUCUAUAGCAUGAUUAAGCAAACUUUACUCUUAAGAACUAUUCAAUAAGGGUACAGCCUUAUUGAAAAAGGAUUCAACCUAAACUUCUGGUUAAUGGUUAUACCCUAAGAGGUAAGAGGCUAAGUGGGCCUAAAAGCAGCCACCUUCUUAAAAGCGUCAAAGCUUUGCCUUACUUCUACCCUUUAUUCUAUUAACACCCCAAAACCCGACACUUCUACUGAGCUUUUCUAUAUUAUUAUAGAAGUAUUUAUGUUAGGACUAGUAACACAGAAUUAUUUCUCUUACAUGCAAGCACAAAUCAGAUCGAAUACUUCACUGAUAUCUACUCACUCCUGAGCCAAAAGUAAUAACCCCCUCUCCCGAAAACCCUACCCUCUUUAUUGUUAACCUUACACAAGCGCAUGAAAGAAAGAUUAAAAGACUAGGAAGGAACUCGGCAAAUAUAAGCCCCGCCUGUUUACCAAAAACAUCGCCUUUUGAAUCCUAUAAAAGGUAACGCCUGCCCAGUGACUUUAUGUUUAACGGCCGCGGUACUCUGACCGUGCAAAGGUAGCGUAAUCACUUGUCUUUUAAAUAAGGACUAGUAUGAAUGGCAUCACGAGGGCUUAGCUGUCUCCCUAAUCUAAUCAGUGAAACUGAUCUCCCUGUGAAAAAGCAGGGAUUAACACAUAAGACGAGAAGACCCUAUGGAGCUUUAAACCAAAAACUACCUGUUUAAUCUAUUGUACGAAAGAUAAUACUAAAUCAACUGAUCUAGUUUAGGUUUUCAGUUGGGGUGACUGUGGAGAAAAACAAAUCCUCCACGCAGACUUAAGCUUUGAGCAACCGCUCUACGCAUUAGCAAGUCUAACUGCACUUGAUCCAAUAUUUUUGAUCAACGGACCAAGUUACCCUAGGGAUAACAGCGCAAUCCAUUUCAAGAGUCCCUAUCGACAAAUGGGUUUACGACCUCGAUGUUGGAUUAGGACACCCAAGUGGUGCAGCCGCUACUUA
rnacentral:rRNA from 1 species